rnacentral:rRNA from 1 species
GGGGGGGGGGGGGGGGGGGGGGGGGGGGGGGGGGGGGGGGGGGGGGGGCCGGCGGGGGUGGGGGGCUGGGGGGGCGAACGGGUGAGGAACACGGGAGUGACCGGCCCUCGACUUUGGGAGGACUUCAGGAAACGGGGGCUAAGACCGGAUAGGCGCUCCGGCUGGCUGGCGGGGGGUGGAAAGCUCCGGCGGUUGGGGAUGGACUCGCGGCUUAUCAGCUUGUUGGUGGGGUAGUGGGUUACCAAGGCUUUGACGGGUAGCCGGCCUGAGAGGGUGACCGGCCACAUUGGGAGUGAGAUACGGCCCAGACUCCUACGGGAGGCAGCAGUGGGGAAUAGUGUACAAUGGGCGGAGGCCUGAUGCAGCAACGCCGCGUGCGGGAUGACGGCCUUCGGGUUGUAAACCGCUUUCGCCUGUGACGAAGCGUGAGUGGCGGUAAUGGGUAAAGAAGCACCGGCUAACUACGUG